rnacentral:rRNA from 1 species
GAUGAACGCUGGCGGCGUGCCUAAUACAUGCAAGUCGAGCGAACGGACGAGAAGCUUGCUUUUCUGAUGUUAGCGGCGGACGGGUGAGUAACACGUGGAUAACCUACCUAUAAGACUGGGAUAACUUCGGGAAACCGGAGCUAAUACCGGAUAAUAUUUUGAACCGCAUGGUUCAAAAGUGAAAGACGGUCUUGCUGUCACUUAUAGAUGGAUCCGCGCUGCAUUAGCUAGUUGGUAAGGUAACGCCUUACCAAGGCAACGAUGCAUAGCCGACCUGAGAGGGUGAUCGGCCACACUGGAACUGAGACACGGUCCAGACUCCUACGGGAGGCAGCAGUAGGGAAUCUUCCGCAAUGGGCGAAAGCCUGACGGAGCAACGCCGCGUGAGUGAUGAAGGUCUUCGGAUCGUAAAACUCUGUUAUUAGGGAAGAACAUAUGUGUAAGUAACUGUGCACAUCUUGACGGUACCUAAUCAGAAAGCCACGGCUAACUACGUG